AUUGAACGCUGGCGGCAGGCCUAACACAUGCAAGUCGAGCGAGAGGCGGACGGGUGAGUAAUGUAUGGGGAUCUGCCCGAUAGAGGGGGAUAAAUACUGGGAAAGGUGGCUAAUACAGCAUACUGUCGGAUGAACACGUAGUGGAUUAGGUAGUAGGUGGGGUAAAGGCUCACAUAGGCGACGAUCUCUAGGUUGUCUGAGAGGAUGAUCAGCCACACUGGGACUGAGACCCGGCCCAGACUCCUACGGUAGGCAGCAGUGGGGAAUAUUGCACAUUGGGCGCAAGCCUGAUGCAGCCAUGCCGCGUGUAUGAAGAAGGCCUUAGGUUUGUAAAGUACUUUCAGCGGGGAGGCGUUACCCGCAGAAGAAGCACCGGCUAACUCCGUGCCAGCAGCCGCGGUAAUAC
rnacentral:rRNA from 1 species